AAGAACAUCCCCAAAAUAAUUCCUGGAGCAUAUCUCUUACAAAAACAUCCAAUCUUGGUGAAAAAAUGGUCAAUGAUGGCGAAUCCACCAUGACCCUUGCUCUCUACGUUAGCCUUUGAUCAGCCUUUAUGUAAGUUCUAAACUCAAGAUGGGGCUUCAGUCUGAGGACUCUGUGCAGAGAAAGGGGAAACACUGUCAAUACGAAAGGAGUCGAAUCCCCUCAUCCCCCAAAGAAAUCAGUCCUCAAAGGGGCCUCUUUGAAGAAAUCCCAUCUGCAUGAAGGCCUAGAAACCCCCUGCACUGAUUAAGUGUCUUGUGGAACUGGAUCUGUCAUUUGGAUUUGGCAGUCAAUGUGGGGAUCCAGGGGCUGACUGAAAAUCCCAAGAGAUGAACAAAUCUUGACAUUAUGUGGAGGAAGAGAAAACAGCGGGGGUCAACUGGAACAGCGGUUCUCAAGAGUGCCACACCAAAGCAAAUGCUGAAGGAAUCUGAAAGCUGUUAAGGACUGAAAAUAAUUAGAGGCCAGAGAGUAUUUCUAAAAAGUAAUGUGAACUGUAUUCAGCUAAAGAACUUAUUGUGGAAAUCUAAUUAAAGGUUUGCAUUCUUGUGAGUGAAAAAGCCUGGAUAUUUUCCUAAUCUUGUCCAACAUGUUGU